rnacentral:rRNA from 1 species
AGAGAGAGACAUGCGCGCAUAUCAAUAAGCGGAGGAAAAGAAACUAACAAGGAUUCCCUUAGUAACGGCGAGUGAAGCGGGAAGAGCUCAAAUUUGAAAUCUUCAAGGUUUUACCUUGACGAAUUGUAGUUUAAAGAAGUGUUUUCUGCUGAAGUUUUGGUAAAAGUUCUUUGGAAUAGGACAUCAUAGAGGGUGAGAAUCCCGUAUUUGACCAUUAUUUUCAGCUUUGUGAUACACUUUCAAAGAGUCGGAUUGUUUGGGAAUGCAGUCCAAAAUGGGUGGUAAAUUUCAUCUAAAGCUAAAUAUUGGCGAGAGACCGAUAGCGAACAAGUACCGUGAGGGAAAGAUGAAAAGAACUUUGAAAAGAGAGUUAAACAGUACGUGAAAUUGUCAAAAGGGAAGCGUUUGACACCAGUGUUGUUUUCUCGAAAAUCAAUUAAAAAUGGCUCGAUUUUGUAUUGUUGAGACCUUAAAAGCUCACUGUACAUUUUUCGUGUCUUUUUUAAUGCACUUUUCGUUUAACAAGGUCAACAUCAGUUUCUUUUGUUGUAAAAGGGUCAUUGGAAGGUGGCUUUCUUUUCGGAGAAAGUGUUUAUAGCCUUUGGCCUCUGCAAUCGGAGAGACUGAGGUCUGCAGCGUAGACUCUUCGGGGUUAGAUACAUUUGUGCUAAGUUAUAGCUUUUUAUAGACAACUUGUUGACUAUAAUUAGUCUUGUAGCUUACUCGCUUAUGCUAUUUUACCUACGCUUAGGAUGUUGAGUCGUAGAGCACGCA